rnacentral:rRNA from 1 species
CCUACGGGGGGCAGCAGUGGGGAAUAUUGCACAAUGGGCGCAAGCCUGAUGCAGCCAUGCCGCGUGUAUGAAGAAGGCCUUAGGGUUGUAAAGUACUUUCAGCGGGGAGGAAGGUGAUAAGGUUAAUACCCUUAUCAAUUGACGUUACCCGCAGAAGAAGCACCGGCUAACUCCGUGCCAGCAGCCGCGGUAAUACGGAGGGUGCAAGCGUUAAUCGGAAUUACUGGGCGUAAAGCGCACGCAGGCGGUCAAUUAAGUCAGAUGUGAAAGCCCCGAGCUUAACUUGGGAAUUGCAUCUGAAACUGGUUGGCUAGAGUCUUGUAGAGGGGGGUAGAAUUCCAUGUGUAGCGGUGAAAUGCGUAGAGAUGUGGAGGAAUACCGGUGGCGAAGGCGGCCCCCUGGACAAAGACUGACGCUCAGGUGCGAAAGCGUGGGGAGC